GGCCAAUCAACCCAUCCAUGAACAACCACUCAAUAGAAAUGGCUUUCUUUCAAAUGGAAUUGGAAUGAAGCAAAGUAUAUCAACAAAGUAGUGCAUUGAUCCAAACAGUGUUUCUGGUGCCCUGUACCAUAAUGUCACCCGCCUGAACAAUGGAGUCUGUUGUUGGAAGUCAAAAAAAACAAGCUCAAAAGGGUCAACUAUAUGCUAGAAAUGGAGAAAUGAGGGAAAGGGGGGUUCUAUGUUCUCUGGUGAAAUCGUUUUUAAAUUCUAAGGGAAAUGGAGAAAAUUGGGGGAAAUUAGGGUAGGUUUAUUAGUCUACGUGGCAUGAGUGGAACUAUAUUGGCUUAUGUGGCAUGCCAUGUGGAUCCAAGUGGUGUUUAUCAAAUUCUGUUAAUGAGAAAGGAUUUUUGACCUUAUAGUUUGACGGGAAGGGUAUAUUUGAGCCGAAAUAUAGUUUAAGGGUAUAUUUGAGCUAUUUCGGAUAGUUCAAGGGUAUUUUUGACCCUUUUCCGUAUUUUUUAUUAUUUAAAUAAAAUAUGUAUUCCUGAUAAUUUUGAAUUGCAAAA
rnacentral:misc_RNA from 1 species